UAGCGAAAGCGAGUUUUAACUGAGCGUUCAGUUACUUGACGUAGACCCGAAACCGGGCGACCUACCCAUGAGCAGGAUGAAGCGAAAGUAAAAUUUCGUGGAGGUCCGAACCCACGAGCGUUGAAAAGCUCGGGGAUGACUUGUGGGUAGCGGUGAAAUUCCAAUCGAGCCCGGAGAUAGCUGGUUCUCCCCGAAAUAGCUUUAGGGCUAGCCUCAAGGUGAGAGAUACGGAGGUAGAGCACUGAAUGUCCUAGGGGGUAUUGCACCUACCGAAGACUAUCAAACUCCGAAUGCCGUCAUCUUAUACUUGGGAGUCAGACUGUGGGUGAUAAGAUUCAUAGUCGAAAGGGCAACAGCCCAGAUCGUCAGCUAAGGUCCCUAAAUGUAAGUUAAGUGGUAAAGGAUGUGGGAUUGCACAGACAACCAGGAUGUUGGCUUAGAAGCAGCCACUCAUUCAAAGAGUGCGUAAUAGCUCACUGGUCGAGUGAUCCUGCGCCGAAGAUUUCCGGGGCUAAAACUUACUACCGAAGCUACGGCAUCAGUAAUGAUGGGUAGGGGAGCUUCCCAUACGGGUUGAAGCAUGACCGUAAGGACAUGUGGACAGUAUGGGAGUGAGAAUGUUGGCAUGAGUAGCGAGAUGUGGGUGAGAAUCCCACAGGCCGUAAACCCAAGGUUUCCAGGGGAAGGUUCGUCCGCCCUGGGUUAGUCGGGACCUAAGCUGAGGCCGAAAGGCGUAGGUGAUGGACAACAGGUUGAUAUUCCUGUACUACCGAUAACCGUUUGAGAGAAGGGAUGACACAGUAGGAUAAGCUAAGCACACUGUUGGUUAUGUGUGCCCAAGCAUUGAGGCAGUCAAAGUAGGCAAAUCCGCUUUGAUAAUGCUGGGAUGUGAUGGGGAGCGAAAUUUAGUAGCGAAGUAGCUGAUUUCACACUGUCAAGAAAAGUCUCUAUCGAGGUUAAAGGUACCCGUACCGCAAACCGACACAGGUGGGUGAGGAGAGUAUCCUAAGGCCAGCGAGAGAACUGUUGUUAAGGAACUCGGCAAAAUGACCCCGUAACUUAGGGAUAAGGGGUGCCACCAUCAGGUGGCCGCAGAGAAUAGGCCCAAGCGACUGUUUACCAAAAACAUAGGUUUCUGCUAAGUCGCAAGACGAUGUAUAGGAGCUGACGCCUGCCCGGUGCUGGAAGGUUAAGGGGAUCUGUUAGAGCAAUCGAAGCAGUGAACUUAAGCCCCAGUAAACGGCGGCCGUAACUAUAACGGUCCUAAGGUAGCGAAAUUCCUUGUCGGGUAAGUUCCGACCCGCACGAAAGGCGUAACGAUUUGGGCACUGUCUCAACAACAGACUCGGUGAAAUUGUAAUUCCGGUGAAGAUGCCGGAUACCUGCGACAGGACGGAAAGACCCCAUGGAGCUUUACUGUAGCUUGACAUUGGGUCUUGGUACUACAUGUACAGGAUAGGUGGGAGGCUUUGAAACCAGGACGCCAGUUUUGGCGGAGCCAUCCUUGGGAUACCACCCUUGUAGUACUGGGACUCUAACCAUAGGCCAUGAAUCUGGUCUUGGGACACUGUCAGGUGGGCAGUUUGACUGGGGCGGUCGCCUCCCAAAAGGUAACGGAGGCGCUCAAAGGUUCUCUCAGUACGGUCGGAAAUCGUACGUAGAGUGUAAAGGCAAAAGAGAGCUUGAUUGCAAGACAUACAGGUCGAGCAAGGAUGAAAAUCGGACUUAGUGAUCCGGUGGUUCUGCGUGGAAGGGCCAUCGCUCAACGGAUAAAAGCUACCCUGGGGAUAACAGGCUUAUCUCCCCCAAGAGUCCACAUCGACGGGGAGGUUUGGCACCUCGAUGUCGGCUCAUCACAUCCUGGGGCUGUAGUAGGUCCCAAGGGUUGGGCUGUUCGCCCAUUAAAGUGGUACGCGAGCUGGGUUCAGAACGUCGUGAGACAGUUCGGUCCCUAUCCGUCGCAGGCGUAGGAAAUUUGAGAAGACCUGUCCUUAGUACGAGAGGACCGGGAUGGACGUACCUCUGGUGUACCAGUUGUCCUGCCAAGGGCAUGGCUGGG
rnacentral:rRNA from 1 species